GACGAACGCUGGCGGCGUGCUUAACACAUGCAAGUCGAACGGAAAGGCCCUGCGUUUGUGGGGUGCUCGAGUGGCGAACGGGUGAGUAACACGUGAGUAACCUGCCCUUGACUUUGGGAUAACUUCAGGAAACUGGGGCUAAUACCGGAUAGGAGCUCCUGCUGCAUGGUGGGGGUUGGAAAGUUUCGGCGGUUGGGGAUGGACUCGCGGCUUAUCAGCUUGUUGGUGGGGUAGUGGCUUACCAAGGCUUUGACGGGUAGCCGGCCUGGGAGGGUGACCGGCCACAUUGGGCCUGCGAUACGGCCCAGACUCCUACGGGCGGCAGCAGUGGGGAGUAUUGCACAAUGGGCGGAAGCCUGAUGCAGCAACGCCGCGUGCGGGAUGACGGCCUUCGGGUUGUAAACCGCUUUCGCCUGUGACGAAGCGUGAGUGACGGUAAUGGGUAAAGAAGCACCGGCUAACUACGUG
rnacentral:rRNA from 1 species